GCACCCGGCCAUAGGCGGCGGGUCCCACCCGGACUCAUUCCGAACCCGGAAGUUAAACCGCCGUCCGCCGUCGCGAGUACUGCGGUCCGCGAGGCCGCGGGAAAGCACGGUGCUGGGUGCC
rnacentral:rRNA from 1 species